rnacentral:tRNA from 1 species
GGCGGCGUGGCGCGGCGGCGCACAGGUCUAUCGUGCUAGGAGCGCGGGUUCGAUUCCCGCCGCAGCUG